rnacentral:rRNA from 1 species
AGUGAACGCUGGCGGUAGGCCUAACACAUGCAAGUCGAACGGCAGCACAGUAAGAGCUUGCUCUUACGGGUGGCGAGUGGCGGACGGGUGAGGAAUACAUCGGAAUCUACUUUUUCGUGGGGGAUAACGUAGGGAAACUUACGCUAAUACCGAAUACGACCUACGGGUGAAAGCAGGGGAUCUUCGGACCUUGCGCGAUUGAAUGAGCCGAUGUCGGAUUAGCUAGUUGGCGGGGUAAAGGCCCACCAAGGCGACGAUCCGUAGCUGGUCUGAGAGGAUGAUCAGCCACACUGGAACUGAGACGCGGUCCAGACUCCUACGGGAGGCAGCAGUGGGGAAUAUUGGACAAUGGGCGCAAGCCUGAUCCAGCCAUACCGCGUGGGUGAAGAAGGCCUUCGGGUUGUAAAGCCCUUUUGUUGGGAAAGAAAAGCAGCAGGUUAAUACCCCGCUGUUCUGACGGUACCCAAAGAAUAAGCACCGGCUAACUUCGUG